rnacentral:snRNA from 1 species
GCCCAUAUUCCAAAGGGACAUCUGAUAAAAUUGGAAUGAUACAGAGAAGAUUAGCAUGGCCCCUAUGCAAGGAUGACAUGCACAAAUAGAGAAAUAGUAUCAGAGCAG